rnacentral:rRNA from 1 species
GUUUGAUCAUGGCUCAGAUUGAACGCUGGCGGUAUGCUUAACACAUGCAAGUCGAACGGAAACGAAACUAGCUUGCUAGUAGGCGUCGAGUGGCGGACGGGUGAGUAACGCGUAGGAAUCUGCCUGAUAGUGGGGGAUAGCCCGAAGAAAUUCGGAUUAAUACCGCAUAAUCUAUUCGUAGUAAAGUGGGGGACUUUCGAGCCUCACGCUAUCAGAUGAGCCUGCGUAAGAUUAGCUUGUUGGUAGGGUAAAAGCCUACCAAGGCAACGAUCUUUAGCUGGUCUGAGAGGAUGAUCAGCCACAUCGGGACUGAGACACGGCCCGAACUCCUACGGGAGGCAGCAGUGGGGAAUAUUGGACAAUGGGGGCAACCCUGAUCCAGCAAUACCGCGUGUGUGAAGAAGGCCUGAGGGUUGUAAAGCACUUUCAAUUAUGAAGAAAAGUUAACGGUUAAUAACCGUUGACCUUGACGUUAAUUUUAGAAGAAGCACCGGCUAACUCCGUGCCAGCAGCCGCGGUAAUACGGAGGGUGCAAGCGUUAAUCGGAAUUACUGGGCGUAAAGCGUGCGUAGGCGGUUUAUUAAGUCAGAUGUGAAAGCCCCGGGCUUAACCUGGGAACUGCAUUUGAAACUGGUCAACUAGAGUAUGGUAGAGGAAAGUGGAAUUUCUGGUGUAGCGGUGAAAUGCGUAGAUAUCAGAAGGAACAUCAAUGGCGAAGGCAGCUUUCUGGACCAAUACUGACGCUGAGGUACGAAAGCGUGGGUAGCAACAGGAUUAGAUACCCUGGUAGUCCACGCCGUAAACGAUGAUAACUAGCCGUUGGGGGGAUUUACCCCUUAGUGGCGAAGCUAACGCGUUAAGUUAUCCGCCUGGGGAGUACGGCCGCAAGGCUAAAACUCAAAGGAAUUGACGGGGACCCGCACAAGCGGUGGAGCAUGUGGUUUAAUUCGAUGCAACGCGAAGAACCUUACCUGGUCUUGACAUCCUGCGAACUUUCUAGAAAUAGAUUGGUGCCUUCGGGAACGCAGUGACAGGUGCUGCAUGGCUGUCGUCAGCUCGUGUCGUGAGAUGUUGGGUUAAGUCCCGUAACGAGCGCAACCCCUAUCCUUAUUUGCCAGCACAUUAUGGUGGGAACUAUAAGGAGACUGCCGGUGAUAAACCGGAGGAAGGCGGGGACGACGUCAAGUCAUCAUGGCCCUUACGACCAGGGCUACACACGUGCUACAAUGGGAAGGACAAAGAGCCGCGAAGCCGCGAGGUGUAGCUAAUCUCAUAAAUCUUUUCGUAGUCCGGAUUGGAGUCUGCAACUCGACUCCAUGAAGUCGGAAUCGCUAGUAAUCGUAGAUCAGAAUGCUACGGUGAAUACGUUCCCGGGUCUUGUACACACCGCCCGUCAUACCAUGGGAGUGGGUUGCACCAGAAGUGGCUAGUCUAACUUUGUGAGGACGGUCACCACGGUGUGAUUCAUGACUGGGGUAAAGUCGUAACAAGGUAACC